UAGGCAGUUGCUAACGUUUUCCAGGUGGUUGCUAAGUGGUUGCUAGGCAGUUGCUAACAUUUUCCAGGUGGUUGCUAGGCAGUUGCUAAGUUGUUGCUAGGCAGUUGCUAACAUUUUCCAGGUGGUUGCUAAGUGGUUGCUAGGCAGUUGCUAACGUAUUCCAGGUGGUUGCUAGGCAGUUGCUAAGUGGUUGCUAGGCAGUUGCUCACGUUCUCCAGGUGGUUGCCCAGUGGUUGCUAGGCAGUUGCUAACGUUUUCCAGGUGGUUGCUAAGUGGUUGCUAGGCAGUUGCUAAUGUAUUCCAGGUGGUUGCUAGGCAGUUGCUAAGUGGUUGCUAGGCAGUUGCUAACGUUUUCCAAGUGGUUGCUAGGCAGUUACUAAGUGGUUGCUAGGCAGUUGCUAACGUUUUCCAGGUGGUUGCUAAGUGGUUGCUAGGCAGUUGCUAACGUUUUCCAGGUGGUUGCUAGGCAGUUGCUAAGUGGUUGCUAGGCAGUUGCUAACGUUUUCCAAGUGGUUGCUAGGCAGUUGCUAACGUUUUCCAGGUGGUUGCCCAGUGGUUGCUAGGCAGUUGCUAAUGUUUUCCAGGUGGUUGCUAAGUGGUUGCUAGGCAGUUGCUAAUGUAUUCCAGGUGGUUGCUAGGCAGUUGCUAAGUGGUUGCUAGGCAGUUGCUAACGUUUUCCAAGUGGUUGCUAGGCAGUUGCUAAGUGGUUGCUAGGCAGUUGCUAACGUUUUCCAGGUGGUUGCUAAGUGGUUGCUAGGCAGUUGCUAACAUUUUCCAGGUGGUUGCUAGGCAGUUGCUAAGUUGUUGCUAGGCUGUUGCUAACGUUUUCCAGGUGGUUGCUAAGGUGUAGCAAACUGGUUGCUAGGCAGUUGCUAACGUAUUCCAGGUGGUUGCUAAGGUGUUGCUAAGGUGUUGCUAGGCAGUUGCUAACGUUUUCCAGGUGGUUGCUAAGGUGGUUGCUAAGCAGUUAAUAGGUGGUUGCAAAGCCCUGGCUGGGGUGCCGGGGUGUCCAAACUUUUGACUGAUAGCUGCUCCAUACAGCAGCUCCUCCAUACACUCACAGUACUGGAGGAGCAGGGGAGAGAAGGGGUUCCGUGCGCAGAGCUGCUCGUGUGUGAGAUGGAACUCUGGGCCCCCCAUUCAUUUCUAUGGGGCAACUUCGUACGACAUUUGUACGAAAUCCGUACGACGUAUCGUUUCGUAAAGCAUAUUUUCGGAAAGAACUCACUAAGUUCUAUAGACCAUCCGAAUUUCGUCUUCAUAUCUCAAAAAUUGUGACGUUCACAGCCGUUCAAAAAUCUUCUAGUUCAUUGUCUAUGGAAAAAAUGACGUACGUUUACGAAGUUUUUACGAAAACCGUACGAUAUAUCGCUCCAAAAAGCACAAGCAACGUAAUUCACUAUAGGUCCCACGAUCCCUGAAAAUUUCGUGAUUCUACGUUGAAAGCCCUAGGAGGAGAUGCGUUUAACAAAAGUGGGGAAGAAUAAUAAUAAUAACUAGAAAAAGUAAAGUUCGUGAACGAACUUUAAGUUGGCUUGGAAAAGAACGCUAAUAACGUUAAAAAGUUAAAAUGGUUGCUAAGCUUUUUCCGUCUGAAGAGUGUGAAGAGUCAUUGAUAUGCUGUUAACUUUUGGCUAAACGCUAAAUGCUAAAAACGCUGAAAUCUAAAAACAUUUGGUUAAACGCUGAAAUCUAAAAACAUUUGGUUAAACGCUGAAAUCUAAAAACAUUUGAUUAAACGCUGAAAUCUAAAAACGUUUGGUUAAACGCUGAAAUCUAAAAACGUUUGGUUAAACGCUGAAAUCUAAAAACGUCUGAUUAAACGCUGAAAUCUAAAAACGUUUGAUUAAACGCUGACAUCUAAAAACGUUUGGUUAAACGCUGAAAUCUAAAAACGUUUGGUUAAACGCUGAAAUCUAAAAACGUUUGAUUAAACGCUGAAAUCUAAAAAUGUUUGAUUAAACGCUGAAAUGUAAAAACGUCUGGUUAAACACUGAAAUCUAAAAACAUUUGAUUAAACGCUGAAAUCUAAAAACGCUUGAUUAAACGCUGAAAUCUAAAAACGUUUGAUUAAACGCUGAAAUCUAAAAACGCUUGUUUAAAUGCUGAAAUCGUAAAACUUUUGGUUAAACUUUUGAUUGCUAAUGUGUUGCUAGGCGGUUGCUAAUGUUUUCCAGGUGGUUGCUAAGCUGUUGCUAACUGGUUGCUAGGCAAUUGCUAACAUAUACCAGGUGGUUGCUAGGUGGUUGCUAGGGUGUUGCUAGGUUGUUGCUAAGGUGUUGCUAUGGUAUCCGGGGUGGUUGCUAAGAUGUUGCUAGGUGGUUGCUAAGGUGUUGCUAUGCGGUUGCUAAGGUGUUGCUAUGGUAUCUGGGGUGGUUGCUACGGUGUUGCUAGGUGGUUGCUAAGGUGUUGCUAUGGUAUCCGGGGUGGUUGCUAAGGUGUUGCUAGGUGGUUGCUAAGGUGUUGCUAUGGUAUCUGGGGUGGUUGCUAAGGUGUUGCUAGGUGGUUGCUAGGUGGUUGCUAAGGUGUUGCUAGGUGGUUGCUAAGGUGUUGCUAUGGUAUCUGGGCUGGUUGCUAAGGUGUUGCUAGGUGGUUGCUAGGCAGUUGCUAUCAUUUCUAAAGUGGUUGCUAAGUGGUUGCUAGGCAGUUGCUAACGUUUUCCUAAUGGUUGCUAAGGUGUUGGUAAGUGGUUGCUAGGCUGUUGCUAUCAUUUCUAAAGUGGUUGCUAGGCAGUUGCUAU